CUCCACUCUGCCUCUCCUUGCACCCUGGUGUUUUAUCUGAAGGGAUCAGGUAUGGGAGAGGAACAAGGGCAUUUUCAUAAAAUGUAGAGCUGUGUUAUGCCCCAACAUUGGCCAGUGUGGGACCCUACAGGUGGGUCAUGCCUAAGAGCAUGACUAACCAACCAGAGCCUACACUGCUCAUACAGGAUCCCAUCGGGAUACUUAAGACUAACCAACCAGAGCCUACACUGCUCACACAGGAUCACAUCUGGAUCCUCAAGACUAACCAACCAGAGCCUACAGUGCUCACACAAGAUCACAUCUGGAUCCUGAAGACUAACCAACCAGAGCCUACACUACUCACAGAAUCACAUCUGGAUCCUCAAGACUAACCAACCAGAGCCUACGCUGCUCAAAGAAUCACAUCUGUAUCCUCAAAACUAACCAACCAGAGCCUACGCUGCUCACACAGAAUCACAUCUGGAUCCUCAAGACUAACCAACCAGAGCCUACACUGCUCACACAGGAUCACAUCUGAGUCCUCAAGGCCUACUGUUAGCCAGGCUGCGACUUGGACACUGUAGCAACCAGACUGGAGGAUUUCUACAGGGAACAGAGUCCUCACUCCAAGAAUGAUCAGUGCAGCAUCAUAAAGAUUCAAAAUACGUCUACAGAACCCCCAGAAAGACAUGUCUCAAGUUAGCCCACAAGGUUUUAGAACACAGGGAAGCGACUGCUAUCUUCCAUACAUUCACAACACUUCAAGUGUCAAUCACCACGUUUACUAAAGGGUGAGGAAAGAUGUAAUGUAAAAAAUGACUUCCCAACAAUUCUCACCCUCCUAAGGUUUUUCUUCAUUGUGAGAUCACAAGGGAUCAUCAAAGUACUGAGCAGAACAGCAAC
rnacentral:lncRNA from 1 species